UACGUAGGGUGCAAGCGUUGUCCGGAAUUAUUGGGCGUAAAGAGCUCGUAGGCGGUUUGUCGCGUCUGCCGUGAAAGUCCGGGGCUCAACUCCGGAUCUGCGGUGGGUACGGGCAGACUAGAGUGCAGAAGGGGCAACUGGAAUUCUCGGUGUAGCGGUGAAAUGCGUAGAUAUCGAGAGGAACACCUGCGGCGAAGGCGGGUUGCUGGGCUGACACUGACGCUGAGGCGCGAAAGCUAGGGGAGCGAACGGG
rnacentral:rRNA from 1 species